AACGAACGCUGGCGGCAGGCCUAACACAUGCAAGUCGAGCGCCCAGCAAUGGGAGCGGCAGACGGGUGAGUAACGCGUGGGAACCUUCCCAAUGGUACGGAAUAGCUCAGGGAAACUUGAGGUAAUACCGCAUAAGCCCGAAAGGGAAAGAUUUAUCGCCGAGGGAUCGGCCCGCGUCUGAUUAGCUAGUUGGUGAGGUAACGGCCCACCAAGGCGACGAUCAGUAGCUGGUCUGAGAGGAUGACCAGCCACACUGGGACUGAGACACGGCCCAGACUCCUACGGGAGGCAGCAGUGGGGAAUCUUGGACAAUGGGCGCAAGCCUGAUCCAGCCAUGCCGCGUGAGUGAUGGAGGCCUUAGGGUUGUAAAGCUCUUUCGACGGGGACGAUAAUGACGGUACCCGUAGAAGAAGCCCCGGCUAACUUCGUGCCAGCCGCCGCGGUAAC
rnacentral:rRNA from 1 species